rnacentral:rRNA from 1 species
GUACCGGACGAACGUUAUUCGGAAUCACUGGGCUUAAAGAGUACGUAGGCUGGUUUUGUAGGUGAGAUGUGAAAUCCCACGGCUCAACCGUGGAACUGCGUUUCAAACCACAAAACUUGAGGGAGACAGGGGUGAGCGGAACUGAUGGUGGAGCGGUGAAAUGCGUUGAUAUCAUCAGGAACACCGGUGGCGAAGGCGGCUCACUGGGUCUCUUCUGACGCUGAGGUACGAAAGCUAGGGUAGCGAACGGGAUUAGAUACCCCGGUAGUCCUAGCUGUAAACGAUGAGCACUAGUUCGGGGGGACUUCCACAUCCUCCCGGACGUAGCGAAAGUGUUAAGUGCUCCGCCUGGGGAGUAUGGUCGCAAAGGCUG